rnacentral:lncRNA from 1 species
UCCCCCUGUCCCUGUGGCCACUCAGAGGUAGGGAAGGGGCUCUUGGGGAGGCACAGGGGGCAGAGGUGACUCUGCUUUCUGAGAAGGUGAAGUUCCUGCCUGGAGAGCUGGUUUUGUAUAUAUUCACAUUUUCCAAAUUCCUGUAAAUACUUCUACUAAUACUAAAUCUUUACAGUGUUUUUCCCUUCCUGAAUGGCUGUGUCUGAGUGCAGGCCAGCCAGCUGGGUUCUCCUGUGUUAGCUUUCUGUAGGAAUGGAUUUUGAAGCUGUGUUUUGCUAAACAAAAUUACAACCUUAGAAGACAUUUCUGAGCUUUGUAAACUUGUCAGUGAAGCCUCGCUGUGUUCAGUUUGAUGUUUUUUAGUAUCACUGACAGAGAAAGAAAUCAGACACUGCUUUGGUUCCAAUGCAAUUUCUUGCUGUAGAAAUACAGAAAAUAUUCAAUUUGAAUUUUCCCUCCAGAUAGUUUUAUUAGAGAGAUGCAAGGGAGGGCCCUAACUUUGUGUCUCUCUUUCAGAAGGUUUUAUUCCAGCUUCCUUUCCUUGGCAUAAACAUCCCAUGUCCUGGCUGCAUGGUUGGGGAGCAGUCUGGGAUUUUGGAGCCCCAGCCCCUGCCCAGGGACUGUUUUUGGAGGCCAAAGCCCCCCAGAUGCCCACCUUGCUCUGCUCUGCUCCCCCUGACAGCAGCAGAGCAGUUUGCUCUCCAGAGCCCCCAGACUGAAGUCAGCAGUAUCAAACAAAUGUCCUGCAAGAACUGCCAGGCCAUGAACUUAGGGAAUAAAUAAUCCCAGCCUAUUGAGGUACCUAAUUAACUUCUGUGUGAUUCCGAGAGUACCAUUUAAUGUUUGGGUGCUGGAAGGGGACCAGGGAAUAUUUACUGUGCAUCUCAGCACUGCGGGUUGCUGCUGGCAGGUAAUGAAACCCAGCCAUUGCCCCUGGAGGGGAAGGCAGGCCUGCUGAUCUUUGCAAACACUGAUAACUGAUCAUAUGAAGGCAGCUGUAACAAGGACUGGGAACUGGAGGAAUUCAAAACUCUCUUGCUGGGUCACAGUCCCUCCCUGCUCCCUGCAGCACAGGGCAGAGGAGAUGUGCUCACUGCAGGGGAGUUUGAUCCAAAGUCAGCCUCUCUAUUCCAGAAGGACUUGCACACCUCUGGGGCUCAGCCUUGCCCUCCCACCCCCUGGCACUCCAUGGCUUCGGUGCCAUUUGCAGUUGACACCAGUGCAGCAACAAAGGAUUGUUUGUUGUCUUGGUAUUGAUCCACCUAACAAUUACCCUCAGAAGAAGAG